rnacentral:rRNA from 1 species
AUUGAACGCUGGCGGCAGGCCUAACACAUGCAAGUCGAACAAGUGGCGGACGGGUGAGUACUGUCUGGGAAACUGCCUGAUGGAGGGGGAUAACUACUGGAAACGGUAGCUAAUACCGCAUACCAUCCGAUUUGCCCAGAUGGGAUUUGCUUGUUGGUGGGGUAACGGCUCACCAAGGCGCCGAUCCCUAGCUGGUCUGAGAGGAUGACCAGCCACACUGGAACGGAGACCGGGUCCAGGGUCAUACGGGAGGCAGCAGUGGUGAAUAGUGAACAAUGGGUGCAAGACUGAGGAAGCCAUGCCGCGUGUAUGAAGAAGGCCUUCGGGUUGUAAAGUACUGUCAGCGGGGAGGCGUUACCAGCAGAAGAAGCAACGGCUAACUCCGUGCCAGCAGCCGCGGUAAUUC